rnacentral:misc_RNA from 1 species
GCUCCGUUGGUGAGCCAGCGGAGGGAUCAUUACAGAGUUGUAAAACUCCCAAACCAUUGUGAACGUUACCUAUCCCGUUGCUUCGGCGGGCGGCCCGGGCCCCGCGCCCGGCGCCCCCCGGCCCCCCGUGGGCGCCCGCCGGAGGUAAACCAAACCCUUGAAUUGCAUGGCCUCUCUGAGUCUUCUGUACUGAAUAAGUCAAAACUUUCAACAACGGAUCUCUUGGUUCUG